rnacentral:rRNA from 1 species
GACGAACGCUGGCGGCGUGCUUAACACAUGCAAGUCGAACGGAAAGGCCCUGCUUUUGUGGGGUGCUCGAGUGGCGAACGGGUGAGUAACACGUGAGUAACCUGCCCUUGACUUUGGGAUAACUUCAGGAAACUGGGGCUAAUACCGGAUAGGAGCUCCUGCUGCAUGGUGGGGGUUGGAAAGUUUCGGCGGUUGGGGAUGGACUCGCGGCUUAUCAGCUUGUUGGUGGGGUAGUGGCUUACCAAGGCUUUGACGGGUAGCCGGCCUGAGAGGGUGACCGUCCACAUUGGGACUGAGAUACGGCCCAGACUCCUACGGGAGGCAGCAGUGGGGAAUAUUGCACAAUGGGCGGAAGCCUGAUGCAGCAACGCCGCGCGCGGGAUGACGGCCUUCGGGUUGUAAACCGCUUUCGCCUGUGACGAAGCGUGAGUGACGGUAAUGGGUAAAGAAGCACCGGCUAACUACGUG